rnacentral:rRNA from 1 species
UACAGAGGGGGCAAGCGUUGUUCGGAAUUACUGGGCGUAAAGGGCGCGUAGGCGGCCUGCUAAGUCGAACGUGAAAUCCCCGAGCUCAACUCGGGAACUGCGUCCGAUACUGACAGGCUUGAAUCCGGGAGAGGGAUGCGGAAUUCCAGGUGUAGCGGUGAAAUGCGUAGAUAUCUGGAGGAACACCGGUGGCGAAGGCGGGUCUCUGGGCCGAAACUGACGCUGAGGAGCGAAAGCUAGGGGAGCAAACAGG